UUGGAGGGCAAGUCUGGUGCCAGCAGCCGCGGUAAUUCCAGCUCCAAUAGCGUAUAUUAAAGUUGUUGCAGUUAAAAAGCUCGUAGUUGAACUUCGGGGUUUACUCAUUGGUCAGGCUUAAUUGUCUGCACUGGUGAGAUGAAUCUCUACCUUCUGAGGAACUUUCAUGCCAUUUAUUUGGUGUGAUGGGAAAUCAGGAGUGUUACUUUGAAAAAAUUAGAGUGUUUAAAGCAGGCUAACGUCUGAAUACAUUAGCAUGGAAUAAUGAAAUAGGACGGACUGAUUCUAUUUCGUUGGUUUCUAGGAUCACCGUAAUGAUUAAUAGGGAUAGUUGGGGGCAUUAGUAUUCAAUUGUCAGAGGUGAAAUUCUUGGAUUUAUUGAAGACUAACUACUGCGAAAGCAUUUGCCAAGGAUGUUUUCAUUAAUCAAGAACGAAAGUUAGGGGAUCGAAGACGAUCAGAUACCGUCGUAGUCUUAACCAUAAACUAUGCCGACUAGGGAUCGGACGAAGUUAAUUUUAUAAUGACGCGUUCGGCGCCUUACGGGAAAC
rnacentral:rRNA from 1 species